rnacentral:rRNA from 1 species
UACGUAGGGGGCGAGCGUUGUCCGGAUUUAUUGGGCGUAAAGAGCGUGUAGGCGGCCAGGUAGGUCUGCUGUGAAAACUCGAGGCUCAACCUCGAGACGUCGAUGGAAACCAUCUAGCUAGAGUCCGGAAGAGGAGAGUGGAAUUCCUGGUGUAGCGGUGAAAUGCGCAGAUAUCAGGAAGAACACCCGUGGCGAAGGCGGCUCUCUGGUACGUGACUGACGCUGAGACGCGAAAGCGUGGGGAGCGAACAGG